AUUGAACGCUGGCGGCAGGCUUAACACAUGCAAGUCGAGCGGAGUGAUGGUGCUUGCACUAUUACUUAGCGGCGGACGGGUGAGUAAUGCUUAGGAAUCUGCCAUUUAGUGGGGGACAACAUUCCGAAAGGAAUGCUAAUACCGCGUACGUCCUACGGGAGAAAGCAGGGGAUAUUCGGACCUUGCGCUAAAUGAUGAGCCUAAGUCGGAUUAACUAGUUGGUGGGGUAAAGGCCUACCAAGGCGACGAUCUGUAGCGGGUCUGAGAGGAUGAUCCGCCACACUGGGACUGAGACACGGCCCAGACUCCUACGGGAGGCAGCAGUGGGGAAUAUUGGACAAUGGGCGGAAGCCUGAUCCAGCCAUGCCGCGUGUGUGAAGAAGGCCUUUUGGUUGUAAAGCACUUUAAGCGAGGAGGAGGCUCUCCUAGUUAAUACCUAGGAAGAGUGGACGUUACUCGCAGAAUAAGCACCGGCUAACUCUGUGCCAGCCGCCGCAGUAACAC
rnacentral:rRNA from 1 species